rnacentral:rRNA from 1 species
UACGGAGGGCUCAAGCGUUAUUCGGAUUUACUGGGCGUAAAGGGCGCGUAGGCGGGGGUCGUAGGUCGGCCGUGAAAUCCACCGGCUCAACCGGUGAACUGCGGUCGAAACUGCGACUCUUGAGCUUGGUAGAGGAAGACGGAAUUCCUGGUGUAGCGGUGGAAUGCGUAGAUAUCAGGAAGAACACCAGUAGCGAAGGCGGUCUUCUGGGCCACAGCUGACGCUGAGGCGCGAAAGCCGGGGGAGCGAACAGGAUUAGAUACCCCAGUA